rnacentral:rRNA from 1 species
AUGAUGCGAGGUUAAGUUGAAGAGACGGAGCCGAAGGGAAACCGAGUCUUAACUGGGCGUUAAGUUGCAGGGUAUAGACCCGAAACCCGGUGAUCUAGCCAUGGGCAGGUUGAAGGUUGGGUAACACUAACUGGAGGACCGAACCGACUAAUGUUGAAAAAUUAGCGGAUGACCUGUGGCUGGGGGUGAAAGGCCAAUCAAACCGGGAGAUAGCUGGUUCUCCCCGAAAGCUAUUUAGGUAGCGCCUCGUGAAUUCAUCUUCGGGGGUAGAGCACUGUUUCGGCUAGGGGGCCAUCCCGGCUUACCAACCCGAUGCAAACUACGAAUACCGAAGAAUGUUAUCACGGGAGACACACGGCGGGUGCUAACGUCCGUCGUGAAGAGGGAAACAACCCAGACCGCCAGCUAAGGUCCCAAAGUCAUGGUUAAGUGGGAAACGAUGUGGGAAGGCACAGACAGCCAGGAUGUUGGCUUAGAAGCAGCCAUCAUUUAAAGAAAGCGUAAUAGCUCACUGGUCGAGUCGGCCUGCGCGGAAGAUGUAACGGGGCUAAACCAUGCACCGAAGCUGCGGCAGCGACACUAUGUGUUGUUGGGUAGGGGAGCGUUCUGUAAGCCGUUGAAGGUGUCCUGU